UACGAAGGGUGCAGGCGUUACUCGGAAUUACUGGGCGUAAAGCGUGCGUAGGUGGUUCGUUAAGUCUGAUGUGAAAGCCCUGGGCUCAACCUGGGAAUGGCAUUGGAAACUGGCGACCUAGAGUGCGGUAGAGGGUAGUGGAAUUCCCGGUGUAGCAGUGAAAUGCGUAGAGAUCGGGAGGAACAUCCGUGGCGAAGGCGACUACCUGGACCAGCACUGACACUGAGGCACGAAAGCGUGGGGAGCAAACAGG
rnacentral:rRNA from 1 species